AUGGAGACAGAUCAGGCAUUGCAAGGGAAUGGAGCUGACAUUUCCUGUCUCACCCGCCAAACUCCCCGUGUUUCCACUGCCUACCCCUCAGGUUCAGCCGGGUCACUGGUUUCUCUCUCACUGCACCACCUGUCUGAGACUUGCCGUGUGCCUUGUACAUCUGAUCGACGACGCCAGCCCCAGCUGCCUGACAGCCCAGGCAGCCUAGGAGUUCCUGCUGGAGAGGCAGCUCUGGUGCUGGGCACUGGGGCUCUGCACCCUGCAGAAGUGAGAAGGAUUUGGGCUCCUCCACACCUGCACAGGGAUGAGGCUCCACGGCUACCCGCCUGCAGCCAGAUGGCAAGGGUAGAAGUGGUAGGUAGAAGCUAUAUAA
rnacentral:lncRNA from 1 species